GCCUAGCUUGGUAGCGUGAGCUUGUAACUCAAGUGAGGGCAUUAAAGUGGGAUGGACUUUGAAUGAGCUCAGAUUGGUUGGGUCAAGUGUCUGCAAUAGCUGGCUUGCCCGUUCCAAGUUCCGACUGGAAACAAGUGCUCCAAGUGGAGGCUUGGCCCCCUUGGUUCGGAGAGGGCACUUGCCGGUUCGAGUGAUAAAGGCAUCGCCCGUUUCAAAUGAAGCAAGUGUUUCAAGCGUAAAAGGCUUGGGCCCCUUGAUUCAUAGCUGGCUUCACAGAGCUGCGACUACCUCUUGGUCUGAACAGUGGAAGGAUCACAGGCCGGUGCAUCCUUGGCUCGAGAAUAAAGCUUGGCUCAUUCUAAUGGACUCCCACUUUU
rnacentral:SRP_RNA from 1 species